AUCUGGGUAGCCCAGCGGGUUAGUGCGCGGACCCUCAAAGCUUGGACGGCGCCGUUUUUGUUAUACACCUAAAACUAAAAGAAAAUAAAUGGCCAUCAGCCAUUUCUUCAAAGCACGAAUUGAAUACCCAAUUAUUAGGGUUUCAACUCAACGGCCUUCAUUUGCUAAGGCUAUUUCAUCAUCAAUUCACCAUUAAAAUUGGUGAUUGAUGUAGGUUCGGCCUUUAUUUCUAUGGAAAAUCAACACUCAAAAUCACUUUUACUUAUGGAUCCGCAUUUCUAACCCCGAUUUUGACGGAGAAGCCAAGGGAUCUCAUCAAUGUAUUUAGCAGAGCAUGAGCGGAGACGCGCGCGAGGGCUGGUGGCGCACGUGUGGUGCUGGAGACCGACUGUUAGUUGCGGCGUGAGGGAGAUAGCUAACUGCUGGUGUUUUCCGGAAACCUCUAGGGUUUCUGGUGUUUUCAGUUAUUGGGCCUUUUUCGGGUCAUUUUGUGUCUCUGAUUUGGGCUUGUUUAAUGGACUAUUAAUUUGGACUUUAUUUUGGUUAUUUAUUUAUUUAUUUUGAUUUAUUUUUA